rnacentral:rRNA from 1 species
GAUGAACGCUGGCGGCGUGCCUAAUACAUGCAAGUCGAGCGAACGGACGAGAAGCUUGCUUCUCUGAUGUUAGCGGCGGACGGGUGAGUAACACGUGGAUAACCUACCUAUAAGACUGGGAUAACUUCGGGAAACCGGAGCUAAUACCGGAUGAUAUUUUGAACCGCAUGGUUCAAAAGUGAAAGACGGUCUUGCUGUCACUUAUAGAUGGAUCCGCGCUGCAUUAGCUAGUUGGUAAGGUAAUGGCUUACCAAGGCAACGAUGCAUAGCCGACCUGAGAGGGUGAUCGGCCACACGGGAACUGAGACACGGUCCAGACUCCUACGGGAGGCAGCAGUAGGGAAUCUGCCGCAGUGGGCGAAAGCCUGACGGAGCAACGCCGCGUGAGUGAUGAAGGUCUUCGGAUCGUAAAACUCUGUUAUUAGGGAAGAACAGAUGUGUAAGUAACUGUGCACAUCUUGACGGUACCUAAUCAGAAAGCCACGGCUAACUACGUG